rnacentral:rRNA from 1 species
UACGUAGGGGGCAAGCGUUGUCCGGAAUCAUUGGGCGUAAAGCGCGCGUAGGCGGCCCGGUAAGUCCGCUCUGAAAGUCCAGGGCUCAACCCUGGAAAGCGGGUGGAUACUGCCGGGCUAGAAUCCGGAAGAGGCGAGUGGAAUUCCUGGUGUAGCGGUGAAAUGCGCAGAUAUCUGGAGGAAUACCGGUGGCGAAGGCGGCAUCCUGGACCGGCAUUGACGCUGAGUGAGCGAAAGCUAGGGGAGCAAACGGG